rnacentral:misc_RNA from 1 species
CAGCCGCCAAAGAAAGCUGUUGAUUGCGGCUUACUCCUUCAUUCUGGAUCACAUUACGACUGCUGUUUGACGCAUAUGGAUGGUGUCGAUGCUACAAAAUACAACAAAAUAUUAUUCCCUCUCUAUCUAGGAGGACCUCAUCGUGGUGGGAGGGUGAACAUCAGCAAUUGGUGGCCAACACUCCUAAAAUUUACAUAUAUACAUGUACUUACUGUGCUCACAGGCCUAGUUUGGGUUGACUUGUACUGGCAGUUUGUGUUGUUACAAUUACUGCACGGUCUCCGCUUGCAUGCACAACUUUUGCACUUCCCUCUGUUAUCACAAGGACAGCAUCUCUACAAAAAAGAUUUGUAUAUUGAAUGUUUCAGGAUUUUUUUAUUUUGAGUGAUAUUUAUAUAUCUUUCAUACUGGUGUGUAAUAAAACAAUACUUCUGUAU